rnacentral:rRNA from 1 species
AGCAGCCGCGGUAAUUCCAGCUCCAAUAGCGUAUAUUAAAGUUGUUGCAGUUAAAAAGCUCGUAGUUGAAUUUCGGGAUCAAUACGUCGGUCGUGCUUUCGGGUACGUACUGGCGUCAUUGGUUUCUCCUUUCUGACGAACCAUGAUGUCAUUAAUUUGGUGUUAUGGGGAGUUGGGACUGUUACUUUGAAAAAAUUAGAGUGUUUAAAGCAGGCAUUAGCUUGAAUACAUUAGCAUGGAAUAAUGAAAUAGGACGUUCGAUCCUAUUUUGUUGGUUUCUAGGAUCAACGUAAUGAUUAAUAGGGAUAGUUGGGGGCAUUAGUAUUCAAUUGUCAGAGGUGAAAUUCUUGGAUUUAUUGAAGACUAACUACUGCGAAAGCAUUUGCCAAGGAUGUUUUCAUUAAUCAAGAACGAAAGUUAGGGGAUCGAAGACGAUCAGAUACCGUCGUAGUCUUAACCAUAAACUAUGCCGACUAGGGAUCGGAUGAUGUUAAUUUUUAAUGACUCAUUCGGCGCCUUA